rnacentral:rRNA from 1 species
AGUCGAGCGGCAGCGGAAGUAGCUUGCUACUUUGCCGGCGAGCGGCGGACGGGUGAGUAAUGUCUGGGAAACUGCCUGAUGGAGGGGGAUAACUACUGGAAACGGUAGCUAAUACCGCAUGACCUCGAAAGAGCAAAGUGGGGGAUCUUCGGACCUCACGCCAUCGGAUGUGCCCAGAUGGGAUUAGCUAGUAGGUGAGGUAAUGGCUCACCUAGGCGACGAUCCCUAGCUGGUCUGAGAGGAUGACCAGCCACACUGGAACUGAGACACGGUCCAGACUCCUACGGGAGGCAGCAGUGGGGAAUAUUGCACAAUGGGCGCAAGCCUGAUGCAGCCAUGCCGCGUGUGUGAAGAAGGCCUUAGGGUUGUAAAGCACUUUCAGCGAGGAGGAAGGCAUCACACUUAAUACGUGUGGUGAUUGACGUUACUCGCAGAAGAAGCACCGGCUAACUCCGUGCCAGCAGCCGCGGUAAUACGGAGGGUGCAAGCGUUAAUCGGAAUUACUGGGCGUAAAGCGCACGCAGGCGGUUUGUUAAGUCAGAUGUGAAAUCCCCGCGCUUAACGUGGGAACUGCAUUUGAAACUGGCAAGCUAGAGUCUUGUAGAGGGGGGUAGAAUUCCAGGUGUAGCGGUGAAAUGCGUAGAGAUCUGGAGGAAUACCGGUGGCGAA